GUAAUGCUUGCGGCUAUGCAACGGAUUGCAAAUCCGUGUACAUCGGUUCGAUUCCGGUACGCGCCUCCA
rnacentral:tRNA from 1 species